AUGCAGAGCCUGACAGGGGAUGUCAUCUCUCGCGCCGCAUUUGGCAGCAGCUACCUGGAGGGCCGGAGGGUCUUCCAGCUUCAGGGGGAGCAGCUUGAGCUCGUCCUGCUCGCCAUGAGCAAGAUGCACAUCCCUGGUUAUUUCUUCUUGCCAACAAGAGCCAACCGAAGGAUGAAGCAGAUCGCCGCCGACAUCGAGAGGGUCCUCAAGGGCAUCGUCGCCAAGAGAGAGAACGCCAUGAGAGCCGGCGAGGCCACGAGCGACGACCUUCUCGGGCUGCUGCUGGAGUCUAACAUGGCGGCGCACUGCAGGGAUGAUUCGAAGGGCGCCGGCAUGGGCAUCACGACCGACGACGUGAUCGGGGAGUGCAAGCUGUUCUACUUCGCCGGCGCGGAGACCACGUCGGUGCUGCUCACGUGGACGCUGAUCCUGCUCUGCAUGCACCCGGAGUGGCAGGACCGGGCCAGGGAGGAGGUCCUGCAAGCCUUCGGCGCCGCCGGCACGCCGGGCUGA
rnacentral:rRNA from 1 species